rnacentral:snoRNA from 1 species
AAUGAUGAACGUCAAGAUAGGGACAACCGAUGCUACGGCAUAUGAGGUUGACUUGUGAGAGUAUUUUAGUAGAUGUCUCUCUAAUCUGA